GGGAACAAUAGUGGCAGCUCGUGGUGUUUCUCCCCUGUCCUCAUACAGGUCUGAGUGAGAAGGAAGAAAUUCUGGGCUCCUAGAAUUUUCAAGUUAGAAAGGCAAGAAAAAUUGAACAAAUGAACUCUUUCUGCUUCCAGUUGGGAAAUGUGAACAGCUUUCCCUUACAAAGCAACUUGCAUUAAGGACACAAAUUGGUGGAGGGAAGUACUGAUGCAUUUACCCAUUU